ACAGGGAUUGCCUCAGUAACGGCGAGUGAAGCGGCAACAGCUCAAAUUUGAAAUCUGGCCCUAGGCCCGAGUUGUAAUUUGCAGAGGAUGUUUCUGGCGAGGUGCUUUCCGAGUUCCCUGGAACGGGACGCCAUAGAGGGUGAGAGCCCCGUACGGUUAGUCGCUAAGCCUCUGUGAAACUCCUUCGACGAGUCGAGUAGUUUGGGAAUGCUGCUCUAAAUGGGAGGUAUACGUCUUCUAAAGCUAAAUACCGGCCAGAGACCGAUAGCGCACAAGUAGAGUGAUCGAAAGAUGAAAAGCACUUUGAAAAGAGGGUUAAAUAGUACGUGAAAUUGUUGAAAGGGAAGCGCUUAUGACCAGACUUGGACCGGUUGAUCAUCCAUCGUUCUCGGUGGUGCACUCUGCCGGUUCAGGCCAGCAUCAGUUUGUCCCGGGGGAUAAAGGCUUUGGGAAUGUGGCUCCUCCGGGAGUGUUAUAGCCCACUGUGUAAUACCCUGGGAUAGACUGAGGUUCGCGCUCCGCAAGGAUGCUGGCGUAAUGGUCAUCAGUGACCCGUCUUGAAACACGGACCAAGGAGUCGUCUUCGUAUGCGAGUGUUCGGGUGUCAAACCCCUACGCGUAAUGAAAGUGAACGUAGGAGAGAGCUUCGGCGCAUCUCCGACCGAUCCUGAUGUUCUCGGAUGGAUUUGAGUAAGAGCAUACGGGGCCGGACCCGAAAGAAGGUGAACUAUGCUUGUAUAGGGUGAAGCCAGAGGAAACUCUGGUGGAGGCUCGCAGCGGUUCUGACGUGCAAAUCGAUCGUCAAAAUAUGAGCAUGGGGGCGAAA
rnacentral:rRNA from 1 species